ensembl:lncRNA
GUUGUUAUGAAGAGUCUUGUCUUUUCUUGAUUUGGGAGAUUACCAAUAGGUCCCUAUUCUUGGCGCCUCAGUUUUACUUUUCUCUCUUCAAGGGAGAGGCCACUGGACAUGUCUAUACAAUGUGAAACUUCCCAACUUGAGCUGGAUAAUUGUCUGGCACUCCAAGUUCAUUAAAGUAUAUUUUUUUAUUGAAAAAGAAGUCACUGUGGGAUGAGCAGCUGUCUUCCAGCAAGCCCUUCCAGCAUGCCAUUUCUGCCUUGGAGCCAGUCAACUUUAAACUGAACCCACUGGAAACUGAAAUGAGGAACAUGGAAGAUAUUUUCUGCUGAAUCUGUGGGGCUACAACACACACUGCCAGCAGGGCCAUGUGAUCACGCUGGCACUAUGAUUCUGGUUGGUGUUCAAGGUUGUAUUAAUUCUUUGCCCAGGGCUUCCUUCUGCCGGAAAGAGGCCACCAGCUGCUGAAGAGCCAGAGAAGGAUAACGUAGUCUGUUCCUUGAUGCUUCAGAGCCAUUAAACAUUUACGACAGAACAUUGCCCUUUAAUUCAGCUCCAAGUCAUCUGCCUGCCUCAACUAAGUAGAGUGGGAAAUUAUGAAUGAUGGCCCUCUCCUUACCACCAGUGCCUCUCCACAGUCAGUACCCAUGAGGCCCACUCAACAAGGGCAUCAUCUUUCCAAGCUGACAGCGCUGGGACAAUGACACUUGUGGUAAAUUAAGCGGAAUGGUGAUGAAAAAUGGAGUGUGGUCACAAUCUAGCAGUACUAGCAGUUGGCGGAGUCUACUGUGGCCCUUGACAGAUGCAUUCUCUUUUAGAUCUCUCCGUGGUAUUUGAGUACUGGAUCAUCUAUUAUCCUGCAUGUUAUGUAUGAGGAGAGAAAUAAAAUGAAAUGGAA